rnacentral:lncRNA from 1 species
AAGUCGUACUAUUAAUGCCAUAAUCAUACUCGUGAUUAACAAAUCAACCUCCCGCUACGCGGUCGGUUGAUUUUGUAAUCACUCGUAUGAUUAUGGCAUUAAUAGCACUCCUAUUCGUUCUAUUACCAUCAUUAAUUGCACUCACCAGGAGUGCAAUUAAUGAUUUUCGUGAUGGCUGGGGGAGCGGGAAAUCAAAACAACAAAAUCCAAUAUGGCGGCGAAAUUUAAAUAAGUAUAUAUCUCUGACAAAUGUGGACGAAUUUAACUGAAUUUUGGCACAAGAAUGAGUUUAAUUAAAAAAGAUUGUAUGGCAAAAAGAGCCUGUGGAAAAUACCUGGAAGCAGUUUUGAGAAAUAAUCUCGGCGGGAUGCAGCGAAACAUGACUAUGUAAGUUUGAAAUACAAUUCAUAAAGAUUUUCUUAGUCUAAAAUAUGUUGUUUGAGUUUGAAUCUUAUGUUCUAGUUUACGUUAUGUGCCUUUUUGAGUUUAUAACUAUUUCCCAAGUUUGUUUAUACCAAAUUGCUUAGAAAAGAAUUAAAAGCUCUUGACAAAAUGCAGUUGAAUUUUAAAGAAAGCGAUUUUGUCAUGCAUAUAAUAAAUAAAUAAUCACACGGGCAAGUCGUGCAAUUAAUGAUUAACACUACUCGUGAUAUUUGAAAAAUGUACCAAAUUGCACUCGCCUCGACAGCUCGUGCAAUUUUGGCACAUUUUUCAAAUAUCACUCGUAGUGUUAAUCAUUAAUUGCACUCCUUCCCGUGUGAUUACCUGUACUAAUAAUGUUUGACUAGAAUAUUCAAAAAAGAUGAAAAACAUGGAUGUAUAAUUUACCUAUAUAAUUUUAUCAUAAUAACAACACCAUAUAUUUUUGUUUGCAAGAAAACGAACACAAGUGAAUGAUUAGAAUCUGGAAAAAUAACAACAGAGGGUUUUUAUGCACUCAGACAAGAGUGGAAAAUUAGACACUGAAUUAUAUUUAUACAAAGUAUGUGCUACAAUUACAUUAGACAAAUGAUUAUUAAAGUACAUAAAUCCUUUUUUACACCGGAACCGUGCGUUUAAUUUAAAAGAAGUACGCUUAGAUUUGAAGUUAGCCAAUCCCGGCGUAACUUUAGCCCGUGCCCCCGGCUUUAACUGAAACGUUUGCUUCACCUAGUGUGGAAGCUGUGGCACCAUUACAUAUAUUCCUAUUUUUAUUUACAUAUUUUUCCUAAAUAUGAAAAACUAGUUUUAUAGUUUUUUAUAAGGUAUGGUAGGCCUAUAAACAAAGAAGUGAUGAUUCAGAAAAUAUAAACUG